CUCGUCGCCCGGGGAGCCUGUGAGGAGAGACACACGGCUGCGGGCGGCGUCACGGGCUCGGCCACCGCUCCUGAGAGACACGCCUGCUUCCUGUCCGCCUCCCGGGCCGGCGCCAGAGGGACUGUCUGCUCCGCGUCUGGAACUGUCUGCGCACAGAAUGCGAGGGGGUUUCCAGAACCCUCCAUGGUGCGGGGUGCCACGGGGAGACACUCACAGCUUUCGUACGAAGUCAGAGCUGUGGCUCCCGGCCGGUCCCUGCCGCCCUCGUCCUGACCUCUAACCUCCACCCACCUGAUCAGGUGUCCAAACAGACCCCGUGCCUGGGCGCUCACGCACUCCAUUCCGUGGCCAGAAAGUUAAACAGCUCAACUGUCCGUCACCAAGGAGCGGACAGCUGCCCACAACGGCCGUUCACACACGGAAUACUGCUCAGCCCUGAGCAGGGACGAGCUCUGACCCACGACGAUGCAGGGAAGUGGGAAACAUGAUGCUAGUGAGGGGCUCGGACCUGCCUGCUCUGCCUGCUGUGCCCCCUCUGCCUGCUGUGCCCCCUCUGCCUGCUGUGCCCUCUGCCUGCUGUGCCCGCUCUGCCUGCU